CUAUACGACCUGCUGCCUUUCUUAG
rnacentral:miRNA from 1 species